rnacentral:rRNA from 1 species
GACGAACGCUGGCGGCGUGCUUAACACAUGCAAGUCGAACGGAAAGGCCCUGCUUUUGUGGGGUGCUCGAGUGGCGAACGGGUGAGUAACACGUGAGUAACCUGCCCUUGACUUUGGGAUAACUUCAGGAAACUGGGGCUAAUACCGGAUAGGAGCUCCUGCUGCAUGGUGGGGGUUGGAAAGUUUCGGCGGUUGGGGAUGGACUCGCGGCUUAUCAGCUUGUUGGUGGGGUAGUGGCUUACCAAGGCUUUGACGGGUAGCCGGCCUGAGAGGGUGACCGGCCACAUUGGGACUGAGAUACGGCCCAGACUCCUACGGGAGGCAGCAGUGGGAAUAUUGCACAAUGGGCGGAAGCCUGAUGCAGCAACGCCGCGUGCGGGAUGACGGCCUUCGGGUUGUAAACCGCUUUCGCCUGUGACGAAGCGUGAGUGACGGUAAUGGGUAAAGAAGCACCGGCUAACUACGAG